AUUGAACGCUGGCGGAAUGCUUUACACAUGCAAGUCGAGCGGCAGCACGGGGGCAACCCUGGUGGCGAGCGGCGAACGGGUGAGUAAUACAUCGGAACACGCCCAGUCGUGGGGGAUAACACUUCGAAAGAAGUGCUAAUACCGCAUACGUCCUGAGGGAGAAAGCGGGGGAUCUUCGGACCUCGCGCGAUUGGAGUGGCCGAUGUCAGAUUAGCUAGUUGGUGGGGUAAAGGCCUACCAAGGCAACGAUCUGUAGCUGGUCUGAGAGGAUGAUCAGCCACACUGGUACUGAGACACGGCCCAGACUCCUACGGGAGGCAGCGGUGGGGAAUUUUGGACAAUGGGGGCAACCCUGAUCCAGCCAUUCCGCGUGAGUGAAGAAGGCCUUCGGGUUGUAAAGCUCUUUCGGCAGGAACGAAACGGCGAGCUCUAACAUAGCUUGCUAAUGACGGUACCUGAAGAAGAAGCACCGGCUAACUACGUGCCAGCCGCCGCAGUAAGAC
rnacentral:rRNA from 1 species